ACUGGGAUUAGAUACCCCACUAUGCCCAGCCGUAACAUAACAAUUAAAUCACACAUUGUUCGCCAAAUAACUACGAGUAAAAACUUAAAACUUAAAAGACUUGACGGUAUUUCACAACAACCUAGAGGAGCCUGUCUAAUAACCGAUACUCCACGAUUAACCCAACCCCAGCUAGCCCAACAGUCUAUAUACCGCCGUCGCCAGCUCACCUUGUGAAAGCAACAAAGUGAGCCAAACAGCCACACACUAACACGACAGGUCGAGGUGUAACUUAUGCUAGGGUAAAAGAUGGGCUACAUUUUCUAUCGCAGAAAAAACGAAUAGACUAUGAAACUAGAAACUGAAGGCGGAUUUAGCAGUAAGACGAGAAUAGACAAGCUCGUCCGAAAUAAAUGCAAUGAAAUGCGUACACACCGCCCGUCACCC
rnacentral:rRNA from 1 species